rnacentral:rRNA from 1 species
UACAGAGGGGGGCAAGCGUUAUUCGGAAUUAUUGGGCGUAAAGGGCGCGUAGGCGGCCUUUCAAGUGACGGGUGAAAGCCCUCGGCUUAACCGAGGAACUGCCUGUCAGACUGGAAGGCUUGAGACCGGGAGAGGUAAGUGGAAUUCCCAGUGUAGCGGUGAAAUGCGUAGAUAUUGGAAAGACCACCGAUGGCGAAGGCACUCUACUGGGCCAUUACUGACGCUGAGGAGCGAAAGCAUGGGGAGCGAACAGG